rnacentral:rRNA from 1 species
AUUGAACGCUGGCGGCAGGCUUAACACAUGCAAGUCGAGCGAGCGGCGGACGGGUGCGUAAUGUCUGGGAAACUGCCUGAUGGAGGGGGAUAACUACUGGAAACGGUAGCUAAUACCGCAUACCAUCAGAUGAUCCCAGAUGGGAUUAGAUAGGAGGUGGGGUAAUGGCUCACCUAGGCGACGAUCCCUAGCUGGUCUUAGAGGAGGACCAGCCACACGGGAACGGAGACACGGUCGAGACUACUACGGGAGGCAGCAGUGGGGAAGAUUGCACAAUGGGCGCAAGCCUGAUGCAGCCAUGCCGCGUGUGUGAUGAAGGCCUUGGGGUUGUAAAGCACGUUCAGCGAGGAGGCGUUACUCGCAGAAGAAGCACCGGCUAACUCCGUGCCAGCCGCCGCGGUAAUAC